rnacentral:rRNA from 1 species
CAGUCGCCACGGGAAAACGUAUGUCACAAGCGUUAUCCGGAUUUAUUGGGCGUAAAGCGCGUCUAGGUGGUUAUGUAAGUCUGAUGUGAAAAUGCAGGGCUCAACUCUGUAUUGCGUUGGAAACUGUGUAACUAGAGUACUGGAGAGGUAAGCGGAACUACAAGUGUAGAGGUGAAGUUCGUAGAUAUUUGUAGGAAUGCCGAUGGGGAAGCCAGCUUACUGGACAGAUACUGACGCUAAAGCGCGAAAGCGUGGGUAGCAAACAGGAUUAGAGACCCCUGUAGUCCCUGUCUCUUAUACA